ACUCCUACGGGAGGCAGCAGUGGGAAUCUUGCGCAAUGGGCGGAAGCCUGACGCAGCAACGCCGCGUGGGGGAUGACGGCCUUCGGGUUGUAAACCUCUUUCGCGAUCGACGAAGCUCGUACUUCUGGUACGGGUGACGGUAGGUCGAGAAGAAGCACCGGCCAACUACGUGCCAGCAGCCGCGGUAAUACGUAGGGUGCGAGCGUUGUCCGGAAUUAUUGGCGUAAAGAGCUCGGUAAGGCGGUGUGUCGCGUCGGCC
rnacentral:rRNA from 1 species